AUUGAACGCUGGCGGCAGGCCUAACACAUGCAAGUCGAACGAGUGGCGGACGGGUGAGAAAUGUCUGGGAAACUGCCCGAUGGAGGGGGAUAACUACUGGAAACGGUAGCUAAUACCGCAUACCAUCGGAUGUGCCCAGAUGGGAUUAGCUAGUAGGUGGGGUAAUGGCGGACCUAGGCGACGAUCCCUAGCUGGUUUGAGAGGAUGACCAGGCACACUGGAACUGAGACACGGUCCAGACGCCUACGGGAGGAAGCAGUGGGGAAUAUGGGACAAUGGGCGAAAGCCUGAUGCAGCCAUGCCGCGUGUAUGAAGAAGGCCUUCGGGUUGUAAAGUACUUUAAGCGAGGAGGCGUUACUCGCAGAAGAAGCACCGGCUAACUCCGUGCCAGCAGCCGCGGUAAUUC
rnacentral:rRNA from 1 species